rnacentral:snoRNA from 1 species
UUUGCCGGCACCACGGGUGCAGCCGCCCUGCUGCGCCUGUGCCGUUGGGGCAGAGAGGAAGCGGCUAUUUCUACGCUCAGUGCUCAGAACCGUGGGCACUAAGAAUGGUUUGUAGCCGAACAUC